rnacentral:rRNA from 1 species
CAGCAGCCGCGGGAAUACGUAGGUGGCAAGCGUUGUCCGGAAUUAUUGGGCGUAAAGGGCUCGCAGGCGGUUUCUUAAGUCUGAUGUGAAAGCCCACGGCUCAACCGGGGAGGGUCAUUGGAAACUGGGAAACUUGAGUGCAGAAGAGGAGAGUGGAAUUCCACGUGUAGCGGUGAAAUGCGUAGAGAUGUGGAGGAACACCAGUGGCGAAGGCGACUCUCUGGUCUGUAACUGACGCUGAGGAGCGAAAGCGUGGGGAGCGAACAGGAUUAGAUACCCCUGUAGUCCCUGUCUCUUAUAC